UCUACUGUAUAGUAUCUAUCUACAAAUAUUAAGACUUAUUUGUUGGUUGGCAACUGGCAAACCAGUAAACUUAUUGUGGUUUGCCAGUUGCAGUUUUUUGAUAUUCUGUCGUUUCGCAUUUAGUUGAUUUACCUUUAUAAGAAGCAUCAUGUAGAUGUAGACGAAAUGAUUUAUCAAAUACAAGAUAUUAUUAUACACGCGCUAUGAUUCGAUUUCCCGCGAUUAGAUUGGCAAUGGUGUCCUUGACGCCCCCUAUUGUUUCUGUCGUCACUCUGCCUCCGUGCAUGGCAUACUGUGCAAAGUUUCGACGGGGAUUUCCCCAUUCGAUUUACAAGCAUUUAUCCUUGUCUGUACUAACACAGACACGUGGGAGUUUCAGGUUAACGUCCUACGAACGCGGGAAUGUUGACUCUCCACCAAUGCAAUUAUUUUCUACUUUCUAUUUGGAUUUCUUUUUAAAGUUUGCGAUGAUAUGGGUAGAGUAAUAGAAUAAUUAUUCUACAACUAAAACAUUUCAACAUUAGUUAUUUUUGUAUUUGUUUUUGUAAAAUAUUUAAAAAAAUCAAUUGGUAUUCGUAAUGUUUUAAUCAAUCAGGCAAUGGUGUUUGCUGUGUUUUGUUCAAUUUCAUUUUCGUCUGCUUAUUUUCAUUUCAAAUUUAAUUUAUCAAGAGCUUCACGAGGUGUAGUCGUUCUAGGGUCACUCUCUCAUGUUCGUUUAGAGAAUUAAAAUAUGCUGAUUCAAUUAAAAGAAAUUGUUUGAGUUGUAUGAUUGUCUUAUUCCAAAUCCAAUGUCACCCAUUGGCACCUAGUCAAUCAAAGGCAUUUUGAAUUACCGUCAUCUCUUUCCAGUCUGCCCCUCUCAACUCUCAAUCUGCUUAAUUCUUUGAUAUUUCAGCAAAGUAGUGCCAGCCCAGAAAGCCCUGGAUAAAGAUGAGUGAAUAUCAGACAAUAGGGAAUUGCUGACGACGAUAGACAUCGAACGACUGUGCACAGUGCCAAAACAUCCGGUUCCGGAAUCAUCACAGACGGUGUGCACAAGAAUUUCCCAUGCGGUCACUAUAUUGCAUCUUGAUUCAAAAAUCGACUCUUAUCAUCGUUGACCUCCAACACAUGAACAGUGCAGUACACCUGUAAUCCUAUUGGUGCUAAUAUUUAGGCUUACAGGCAGUAUCUAUGGAUUGGAGAAAUGGCGGUAGAAUAAUCGGCUGGUGCUGAUGUUGAUAUGCUUUACAUAAUCACUCGUCUAACGGGGGAAAAUUUUAAAGACAGAAAGAAUUAUCCUGAUUGAGGGGUCCACCACUGCUCAUACUCAUCAAUCUCAGCCAAUCAAUGACCACCAGAGAUCAUUCUCUGGUCUGUCCAACAUGUUUGUUUAUUGGUGAUAGAGUAAUGCGAAGUUUCACCUGAACCCAAUUAUCUCUUAUUUUUAUUUUACGUCUAAAUUAAUGACCCAGGUUUCAAGAUUGAGAUGUCGUCGAUCAGCGAGCUCUUAUUGGUUUUGGGCAUCCAACCAUCCAACAUGUUCCCGGGAUUGUGUAAUUAGGUAAGAGCUUUGUUUCAAAGCAUUUCCUAUAGAUUGUUGGUCAACAGUAGGCGACACAGUAGCCAAGUUUCUCAGUAUCAAUGCACCUGUUUUUCCUUGAACCUUUUCUCACCGUGUUUCAACACUGGUCUCGACCUUGCUGUCACUAUUUAAAGGGACUAAAACAAGAGUAAUCACCAUCCCAUUCUUCCUCUGUCUGUGGCGGCUGCAACAGUUGAAUUAGAAACUUGGAAAAAUAGAAACAACCCAAUUAGAUAAUACCACACUCGCCCACACUCCAUCAAAAAUAUGAAUUCAAUUUCUGUUGCAUUGACGGUUGCUGCGCUGCUGUUUGUCACGGCCGAGGGUUGGAAUACUGGCGAUGGUGGUGUCAAAUGGUUGCCCAACUGCGACUUUCCUGGCUCGGACUUAAUCCAGUUUAGGACAACCGGAGAACAGUGUGGCAGAACAUGCAUUAACUAUUACUACUACAAGUGUAAUGCUUUCACUCACAAAGACGGAGUGUGUUACUUGAAAAGAAUUCCAGCCUCGCAACGCCCAUCGCGAUGUCCCUCGUGCAGUGUUUGCGGUUUUAUUCCAUAGCAAUUUUGAAUUUUACAUUCGACGACCAUUUGCUUAUUGCAGUUUAUUUCUUCGACAGUCUUGUCUGUAUCGAACGUGUCAUUUCACUUAUUAGUUUAGCGCACAUUAGUGUAAUUCACUCUUCUUCGUGAUUUCGUUACACCCAAUUGGCACAAUAAAACCCUUUUUUUUUGAACAGUUUCUGGGCCCUUCCGAAGAUAUAAUUUUUGGUAUUUUACACUAUUUCAUUUUAGUUUUCUGUCCAGAUGUGGUCAUUAACAGUCUGUCUGUUAAUGGCGAGGUCAAAAGGUUGUUCCAUUUUUUCGAUUGUAACCGCAGCUUGUGACAUGGUAUACGUGCAACGCCAGUAGAUUGUUAAUUCAACUGCGAAAAUGUACUAAUUUUAUUUUUGUAUUUUACAGGCUGUGGACUAUAAAUAAUGCAUUUCCAUGUUUCUAUGGCAUUGAAGAUGGAUGUGGUGGAAUAGGUACUUAUAUAAAUUCCGAGACAACACUAGCGAAGCAGACAGUACUGACACUCUCAUUGUUCCGGUGCAAACUCGCAGAGAAACAAGUCUUCUUUUUGUUACACGUAAAAAGGAGCUGCUGAUCUCAAUCAGCUUUUGAAAAAUCAACUGUGUUUCAUCAACAUGGGAAUUUCAAAUUUCCCGCCUCAUCUGAUUUUACUCGUUUUCCCGCUGAUUUUAAUCAUCGACACGACGAAAGCCGUGGCCAUCCACCACGAAAGGACAUUGGUGGAAGAAAGACGUCGCCCGGAUGAGACGGCCUCGAUCAAUUGGACGGAAUUGAUGGCCAAUGGCGAGCUGGACCAACGGGCGAAACGGGCCCUGUUUCUCAACUUGGUCAAUGCGCAGCAAGCCAAAGCCGAAGAAAACAUACGGAGGAGGAAGGAUUUUUUCAAAGUCCUUGUCGCCGCUACAUCGGCCGCCUCGAUCAAUGAACGCACCGAUAUUACCAAUCAUUCGGCCCAGAACGAUGUUGAAUAGUCGACGACCACCAGUUUCAUGACUGCCAAUCAAACGGCACGGACUUUGUCUUUUCCUGACGCAUGUGUACCAAGUACAGAGAACUUGUCAUCUAACAAAACAUUACAGACGAAUAAACGUUUCAUCGUUUACUGUAGUCACUUAUUAGACGUUGCUUAAUUAUUAUUAUCAUUAGGCUGACACGAUUUAUACACUAACGUAGUUGGAAAAAUAUACUAGCAUUUAUUACUCUGCAUCAAAAAAAGGAUGCCCGUUUGUUCGA